UUCCGUCUGCUAUGAUCACGACGUCGCC
rnacentral:sRNA from 1 species